rnacentral:rRNA from 1 species
UAGUUGGUGGAGUGAUUUGUCUGGUUAAUUCCGUUAACGAACGAGACCUUAGCCUGCUAAAUAGUUGCGCGAGCUGUCAACUGCCAGUAGUCAGGGGUUCGCUUCUGCUGCUGGUAGGAUGGCUCUGCGUUUAACUUCUUAGAGGGACUAUUCGUAUCUAGCGAAUGGAAGUUUGAGGCAAUAACAGGU